CCGCCCGUCACACCACGAAAGUCGUUUUGCACCAGAAGUCGCUGAGCUAACCGCAAGGAGGCAGGCGCCCAAGGUGUGUGCGAUGACUGGGGCU
rnacentral:rRNA from 1 species